rnacentral:ncRNA from 1 species
UGACCUCGGAUCAGGUAGGGAUACCCGCUGAACUUAAGCAUAUCAAUAAGCGGAGGAAAAGAAAACCAACAGGGAUUGCCUCAGUAACGGCGAGUGAAGCGGCAAGAGCUCAAAUUUGAAAGCUGGCCCCCUCGGGGUCCGCGUUGUAAUUUGCAGAGGAUGCUUCGGGUGCA